CAGCCGCCGCGGUAAAACGAAGGGGGCUAGCGUUGUUCGGAUUUACUGGGCGUAAAGGGCGCGUAGGCGGGCGAAUAAGUCAGGGGUGAAAUCCCAAGGCUCAAUCUUGGAACUGCCUUUGAUACUGUUUGUCUUGAGUUCGAGAGAGGUAAGUGGAACUGCGAGUGUAGAGGUGAAAUUCGUAGAUAUUCGCAAGAACACCAGUGGCGAAGGCGGCUUACUGGCUCGAAACUGAUGCUGAGGCGCGAAAGCGUGGGGAGCAAACAGGAUUAGAUACCCGCGUAGUCCCUGUCUCUUAUAC
rnacentral:rRNA from 1 species